AUGCCUCAUCCACCAGUUAUCCUUAUCUUACGAUCGACACUCUUCUCCAUCUUCCUCUAAUACUACUUCGGUCACCUUCUACGGCCACCCCAUAUCUCUCCAUCUCUCUUGCCCUCUGUAUCGGUGUUACACUAGUAAAACCUAAACCCACAUUUGAUUUCUCAAUAGUGUAUAACCCUCACCUAGAACAAACCCUAAAUCACUUAGUUAAAUCGAUUUCUUUUUUAAUCACUUAGAAAUCGCCAUCAUGAUGACAACAUGCUCGAUUUCUAGGUUAGAACUCCUCAAGCUCCCUAAUCUUUCAUUUCCUUUGAUUGAUUUGUGGAUUUUAAAUUUACAGAUGCUCAAUCGUUGUCACAGUGAAUAGCAAAUCUUAGGGUUAUGGUGUUGGAUAUCUGGUGAGAGGGAGGGGGGAUGAAGGAUGGAUAACGGGGGUGGGACAAGAGAUGAUGGCGUUAGUGGUGAUGAAGGUGUCAUCUCCGGUAAGAAUCGUAAGUGAAUCGGAAAUUGAGUAACCAUUAACCAAUAAUGAGAUGAUAUCUCUUCUAGAAUGAACAAAUGAUGAAACCCAUACUCAGAUUCAAACCUAUUCCAGAAAAUUGUGUCUGAAGUUCUUGUAACAUGAUGAACCAGAAUUGAGUAACCAUUGACCAACAAUGGAGACGGUGUCUCUUCUAAAUGCACAUAAGAGAAGUCAACCAUGUCAUUAUCUCCCCUUCUUCGACCAGUGGUUUUAAUGAAGGAAGAAGGAGGAUUUUUUUAGAAACACACUUAAACACCAUCAACUCCACCGGAUCAUCAAAUUUGCAUUUAUUCCGUUCACCGGAGAAGAUAACAACAACCAGAAGAAGGUAUGGUCCAAUUCACCUACGAUGUGGUUAUUCUCUUCAUUGGAGAGGUUAACAACAAAAAGAAGAAAUGUUAUGCUUUGUGAGUUGUCCGUUCUGAAACUCUGACGUUGCUUUGAUUCCAAACCCAUAUCAGAAACUCCAAUCUGAAACUCAUAUCUGAAAUUAAGGAGAGUAUUAUCCUCAAUGUUUUAAAACCUUGGUUUUUAGUCGAUCCGGUGUAAUGACCGGUUCACGGGUCGACCGGUUGAACCGCUGGUCAACCUAGUUUAUGAUCUUUUUCUAUUUCUAUAUAUUUUUACUUUCAUGCAUAAUAUAUAAUCAUAUAAAACCAAUAAUUUGAUGUCCACAAAGUUUAAACAUUGAAAAACAUUUAAAAAACCGUAAACGGCUCGUUGUUUUGGCGCUCACUACUUGUGUCCAACUAUCCAAACCCUAUUAAAACGGGUCAAUCCGGUUUAACCGGUUCAACAUAAGCGGUCGAACCGCAGUUUAGGGGAAACUCGGCCGGUGUUAUCCGGUUCAUAUUUUUACAAAAAAUCGGUCUUAAUUGACCCGCCUUUUACCCCGGGUCACGGUCCAACCGGCCGGGUCGACUCGGGUUUUAAAAACUUGCUUAUCUUGUUAAAGAGAGGGUAAAUAAUUAGAGGUGGGACCCAUAAGCUUUUAUAAUAAUAUAAAUAAUUAUUUAAGAAUAUAAAUAAAAUAAAUAAAUAAGGUUAAAUUUGUCUUUUUAGGUCAGGCUAAUGAAAUUAGGGACAAAACGUGCAACUUUUAAAUAUGUUAGGGACGGUCCGAGUUAAUUUUUCAAAAUUGGGACUGAACGUGCCUUUUGGCACCUACACGAGGGACGAUUUGUGUAAUUUAAUCAUUUCUUAGAGUGUGAAUUUCAUUGAAAGAGUUUAUUAGUUAUUCAUAAAUUUCGUAGAGUGUAAAUAUUGGGAGACCAAAAAUCUUGUUUUUUGUAAGAUCCUAGAACAAAGAGAAGAGGAAACACCACCACCUGCAAUCUAAAGAUAAAGGAGAGUCGUUAUCAAGAAUCACCAUUAAGAGACAUCAUCAAGAAUAAACAUCAGUGCGUCGAAACCAAAACAUCAUAAACUUUUCUGAGAUCUUGUAUUUGGUCUGAUAUCAAUUUACCAUUGUUCCUUGUAUCAGACGUUAUAACUUUAUUAGAUCGUGUGGUUCAAUGGAAAAUACAAAAGAAGAACCAGACGGUGAGAUUUGCAGAUGAACACACAUACAUACACACACUUAUUCCAAUGAAUGUGUGAUUUCAGGUGGGAGGGAAAAACACAUCAAUCCAUCACCAUACACCACCACCAACAACCUCUGUUCUAGGCACCCAUUUUCCUGCAACCAUAGGAUCACCAUCUUUGGACCAGUUCAUCUUUUUUCCUUUUCUUAAAGCUACAAAUCAGAAUUAAAAGGGAAGAAGGGGUCGAUAUUUUUGUGGGUUGCUAAUGAACCUGACUUCAUACUUGCACAGGUCGAUUGAAAAGAAGAAAAGGUCUUCAAUUUUUUUUGUUGCAGUUGGAGUUCUUGGGAGCUUCGAUUCUAGAGAAUGAGUGAGAGAGAGAGAGAGAGGGAGAAUGCGGGGAGAAGAGGGCACCGGUAGGGUUGGG
rnacentral:lncRNA from 1 species